ACUGGAUAACUUGAGUGCAGAAGAGGGUAGUGGAACUCCAUGUGUAGCGGUGGAAUGCGUAGAUAUAUGGAAGAACACCAGUGGCGAAGGCGGCUACCUGGUCUGCAACUGACGCUGAGACUCGAAAGCAUGGGUAGCGAACAGGAUUAGAUACCCUGGUAGUCCAUGCCGUAAACGAUGAGUGCUAGGUGUUGGAGGGUUUCCGCCCUUCAGUGCCGGAGCUAACGCAUUAAGCACUCCGCCUGGGGAGUACGACCGCAAGGUUGAAACUCAAAGGAAUUGACGGGGGCCCGCACAAGCGGUGGAGCAUGUGGUUUAAUUCGAAGCUACGCGAAGAACCUUACCAGGUCUUGACAUCUUGCGCCAACCCUAGAGAUAGGGCGUUUCCUUCGGGAACGCAAUGACAGGUGGUGCAUGGUCGUCGUCAGCUCGUGUCGUGAGAUGUUGGGUUAAGUCCCGCAACGAGCGCAACCCUUGUUACUAGUUGCCAGCAUUAAGUUGGGCACUCUAGUGAGACUGCCGGUGACAAACCGGAGGAAGGUGGGGACGACGUCAGAUCAUCAUGCCCCUUAUGACCUGGGCUACACACGUGCUACAAUGGACGGUACAACGAGUCGCGAACUCGCGAGGGCAAGCAAAUCUCUUAAAACCGUUCUCAGUUCGGACUGCAGGCUGCAACUCGCCUGCACGAA
rnacentral:rRNA from 2 species